rnacentral:lncRNA from 1 species
GUGUGGUCUGUAAUAUGUGCAUACACUUGUGUGGUAUAUAUAUGUGUGGGUGUUGUGGGGGGUUGUGUGUGUGGGUGUAGUGUGUACAUGUGGUGUGUGUGGUGUAUAUAUUAUGUGUGAGCAUGUUGAGUUUGUGUGUGUGCAUGGAGUGUGUCUGUGUGGGUGGUUUGUAUGUGUGUAGUUGUGUGCUUGUGUGUGGUGAACAUAUGUGCGUGGUGCAUGUGGUGUGUGUGUGUAGUGUGGUGUGUGUGUAUAUUAGCCAGCCCUGGUUCAUGGGUGUUGAGAGCCACAGCCGAGUUGGAAUGGCCCCUGGCAUUUUGCCAGAAGUAAUGGUUGAGAGGCAAGCCAUUAAGAUGAUGCUGGAUUGAUUCAAUUGUAUAUAGACCCCUGCUGUCUGCCUCCGGCACCUGCUACUUUGGAGUUCUAGCGGGAUUUCCUGGGGAGUUCGCGUUGGUUGGUAAAGUUCCGGUGGAAGGAGUUCUGGUUGGUGUGGUGUGCCAGAGAGGGGCCGAGUGGGUGGUGUUCUGGAGAGUUCCCCAGGGAGUGUGCGUGGAGUGCUGUUGGAGUUCAGGCAAUAAAGUUUCCUGUUUGAACAUACAAGUGCUUUGUGGCGGCUUGGUGAUUUGUGCCCAGCCAGACUGCGGCACAUGGGGGCCGUGUUGAUAGCCACCUCAGUGAUGUGAUUUGAGAAGCAAUCACAUCACUCAAUCUCAAGUACCUUCCUCACCGUGUGUCAUGGUUCUGCCAGCUCCUCCAUUCAUUCAUCUGAAUCAAGUCAGUGAUUCUGAUCUCUAGGAAAUCUAUCAAUUCAACUUCAACGCCCUAUAGUAGUUUGGUAGCUGCCGAAACAAAAUGCUGCAGACAAGGGGGCCUAACAACAGAAGCAUCAGUGGAUGCUUGUGUUUCUUCUUCACAGCGCCCAUCAGUGGUCUUGUCUGCAGCCCUGAUUCUGUGGCGUUUGCCUGGGGAGGAGGUUCCUUCUUCUUGCCUACAGCUAGUCAUUGAAAUUCCACUGUAAAGGAAAGCUGUCUUUCUCUUUUGUUAUUUGUUUUUUAAUUUGCUUACUUAUUUAGCAACAUGGAUAUUUAUUUUAUUCUAAGUUCAAAUCCAAUACUGUAUUUAUGUUUUUCACUAAGCUUUUUUAGCUUUUGACUUCAGGUUGGUUCCUUUGUUCUUUUGAGAGACUCUUGUCUUUUUUUUUUUUUUUUUUUUUAAGCAUUUUCUUAUUUUCUGACACGACUAGAUGUUCCAGGCUUAUCUUGUGUUUGCUAUGUCUUGGCUUCAGAAUCAGCCACUUCUCCAAAAGUCCUUGCUACUUUUAUUGGAGAGGGGUGUGUAAAGACCAAAAUCUGUGUUGUAGGUGUGCUCAUUACCCCUGAGGCGCUCUUUCUUUUAGGCCCUCAAAAUAGAGGCCUAGGCAAUGCAUGUAUGUAAGCUGCACCUUUCUCUUUCCUUCUCCCUCCCUUCUUUCCCUCUGCCUCUUUAAAAACUAUGGAUUUAUGUUAUACUGAUACCCAUGAUUCUAAACUAAUACCAUGGGGAUAUUUUAAACUUUUUUUUCCCUUAUUUGUGACAACAAACCCAUCUCCCCUGGCUCUCAUUAUCUACAUUGUAUUUACUUACUUGUUCAAUCUUAACUAUGUACAUAAAGUCAUUUCAGAACUGCUAGCCUUUACACCUGAAGAAAAACGUCAACUCACUAGAUCACCGCAUUUAUGUGUAAUCUGUGCCUUCAAUUUUAUGGUAAUCAAUCAGAAUAUUGUGUUCAACUGUUGACUAAACUAGUUAUUUUCUUCUCCAUCCCUUUAAUCUUAUUCAUUUACUAUAGAGUUAAAUUCAUUUGUUAGUAUGCAUAUCCCCUUAAACCCUUCCUCCCCACACAGACUGAUUGCUUUGGAUUAUUUCUUAUUUCAAGGGGGUAUGUGAGCAUUGCUAUGGUCUAUGAAUCAGAUCUGUAUAAAAUGCUGCACUCAGAGCAGGAACCCUCCCUCCUCAGUCUCCCCUCUUUCUUGUUUCUUUCUUCUCUGCACCCUUUCCACCCACUCCUCAUAGGUAACUAACAUCUUUAGUUUCUGGAUUAUCUUCCCGUAUUUCUUCAUACAAGAGGGAAGAUCCCUGAGUAUCUUCUUAUAAUGAAUGGUAGCUUAUUAUAAAUAUUCUUGGGUUUUUAUUUUUUUUCAUGGAAGAGUAGGAGAUGGAAUCUUUACAAUUUUUAAAAUAACGUUGUUUCAAAAGGCUGAACAAUGCUGGGUAAUCAGAUAAUCUCUAACCCCUUUAAAAUAAAAGGGGUGGUUUUAUCUGGAAGACUAGGAGGGUGUCCUAGUGUGGAGAACCAGUCUAGAAAGAUUAAAGAGUCCCUGGUUUUUAAACACAUUAAGUCAACCUUCUGGGAAGAACUGUAUCUUCCUUAAUCUGCCAAGAAAUGAGAAUCAGAUGGUGACAAUGUUGUCAAAGAAACUCCAGGCUGAAAGAGAGCAAAGUGGUACUGAUCCGAGGCGCCUGAGAACUCCUGUUUUAGAGAAGACCACAAAUUCCGCUGAUGCUCUUCCAGCUUCUGGCUGUCACAGGUCGUGUUGUUGCUCAGCUUUCCUUGGUGCUCUCCCAGGAUGGUCCCCUGUGUCGGUGUUUCUCAGACUUCAGUGUGCACAUACACCACACAAGGAGCUUGUUAGAAUGCAGAUUCUAGGGCUGGG